rnacentral:lncRNA from 1 species
UAACGUUGGGAAUACCAACGUUAAGUUUUCUCAUUCCCCUGUAUAUAUAUUUAUAUACACUUGUUCUACUGUUCAUAGAUAUAUGAACACCGUGGAAAAACAACAAGUGAAAAGAGGGUUUUAAUUUAAGUUUUUUUAUCAAUUGUUUAUUUACUUGAUUUCUUUAUCAUCGGGUGUUGAAAGAGUCUCCGUCAACCUCCUUCACGAUCGUGCUCGCAGGAGGAGGAAUUCCGGUCGUACCUUGGGGUGUUAUUUCCGGUUAAUCCCGCACGUAAGGACGGAAAUACGCCUUAGGGCAGUGCCUCGCACGCUUCCGGAUCAAUUAAAUUUUUAUUUGGACUUAGCGAUUAUCGGUAAGUUGAUUUUAUUAAUUUUAUCAUAAGAUUUUGUUAGAUUUAAAUCACAAUCAGAUUUCUGUGCGGUAUUUGUUCCAACAAUCUAAGGCGUAAUUCCGAUUUGAUUGUGAUUGAAAUCUGACGAGUGCUAAUCCGUAUUAAAUUAAUUUUAUAUGUAUAUAAUUUGUUAGUUAAUUUGUUUGUAUAAUUGGCAUUCAAACAUAAAUUUUUCGGAAUUAUCAUUUUAACCUAUAAUUGCAUAUUAUGUAAUUUCUUGUUUAAAUUACAUUUUAUUUGAUGAGUAUUUAAAAAAAAAAAAAAAAAAAAUUGCCUUUACUUGUAGCUCUUUUGAAAAUAAAAAGGUACGGACAUUAUGGAUUUCAAAACUAUAUGUAUAUUGUUUUCACUAUUUUUUUUUAUAUAAGUUAAAAAAAAAAAAAAAAAAAUCAGUGUAACCGUAUAUAUAUAUAUACUGUUCCGUUGUAAUAUCUGUUCUUAUUAGUUUAAUAUCUGAUAUAUGUGGGCUACUUGCCAACCUCGAUAUUAAAUUAAUUUUUUGUGGGAGAGUAUCUACCCAUGAUAGCUUGUUACUGGAAUUUUAUCAUGUCGUUGCGCUGCACUGCUGUUCGAGACUAGCACACUUAUGUAUGUAGUUUAAUUAUUAUUUUGCUUAAAAUAGAAAGAUAUCGAAUGUUAUUUUUGUUAGACAAAUUUGAUUGCAUGUUUGUCGUUCUAAUUUAAAUAAAUUAGAAUUAGUAUUUUCAAAUUCUAAUUGCAUAUAAUUUACUUGCUAAUUGCAUAUAACUUAAUUAUCAAUUAUUAUAUUCUCAUAUCUGUUAUAGGGUGUUUUAAAUUUGUUUUUUUUUUAAAAAAAAGCUACUGUAAAAUUAUUUUUUAUAGUGUACGGCUUAAAAGUUUUGCUACAGUAAAAAUUCUUUGGUAAAAAAAAAAAAAAAAAGAGAAGAGAAUUUGCCACAGUAAAUUAAGGAGAGUUUGCUACACUAAAUUUAGUUUAUGUGUACGGAUGCGUUCGUACCAGCAUCACCUAACCUAUAAUACUAUCUCUUAGUUGUCACUACAUUUGUUACAUCUAAGUAUUUUAUACAUUGGUUAUAGUAUAUCAUUUUAUUUUGCUUGUGCCAUCUAUUUGUUGUUGACCCAAAUUCUAUUAGACAUGAUUAAGGCCAUAUUUUUUAAAUUCUGAUAUAUUUCAAAACUUGUGGGGGGUACUCUUUUAUCAGUUUGAUAAAUUUUGAUAUUAUAAUUACUCUCGUAAUUUUAUCCUAGUGUUCAUCUUGGAAACGAAUUUUGCAAAUUCUAAGAUUGGCAGGUAAAUUAUUUUGAGACAUAAAUUUAUUAGAUGGCUAACCUUUUAUAAUAUUAUUUUUUAAGUUUUUUCAGAUCUGAUCAGAAUCUUGCAGAUUGCUUGACGAAAGGCCUGAAUAGGACUAAGGUCCUAGAGUCAUCGAGGGGGAUGGGACUUUGCCCGUAAAGGGCCUUCCUGCAGUGGGAACCCAACCUUUGUGAUAGGAGAUCCCUUGAAGAAGGUUCAAUGUGGUAAAAACAAGCUGUCAGGUUGGCCAAGAGCACUUUCUACAAAUUUUAUAAAGGAGCUUUAGCUCCAAUUCCAUCCCUAUGGUGAGUAGUGCUCUGUGUAGUGGAUUAGGUUGAGCUGAGAGCUCUUAAUGGGAUCCAAGGCGAUAAUUUUCGCGAGAUGUGACUCUACACACAUCCCUGGAGGAAACCACCUAUAUAAGAGUAUCCGUAUGUGGCCGCGGCUAUGUGAAUGGGCUAUACAUAGAAACUCUUAUGAAAAAUCAAGGUACUGUGCAUGGCCAUUAACGCACAGACCCGCGACGGAGAAUUCUAUACUGUGUGUGUGAUAGUUGAAGUCAGGGACAAAGGAACGUAGUUCAAGACCUGGUUCACUCCGAUUCCUUCUGAUGGAAACUAUUUACACUAAGUGAGGUUAAGUCCUUAAAGACACCUUACCUAUUGCAUAGUAUAAACACCCGGUGAUUUAUUUAUUUAUUAGUUUUGUUUUCGAGUUUAAUUCCUAUUUCGAAAUUUUGAAUUUUGUGGGGGAUUGUUGGAGAAAAUUCAAAAUCUCUAAAUUUCAUAUUUUAAAAUAUUAAUUUAAUUUAUUUUUAUUAUUAUUAUUUUUUAAGCGAACGUCCGCACGCACUGUGCACGCGCGGACGUUACGCAUGCUCGCGCUAUUUGUCCGCAUGGAAUCCAUGCGGACAUUCAUGUGGGUGCUAAUUAAAAGGGCUAAUUAAGAAAAUGUUAACGUUGGGAAUACCAACGUUAAGUUUUCUCAUUCCCCUGUAUAUAUAUUUAUAUACACUUGUUCUACUGUUCAUAGAUAUAUGAACACCGUGGAAAAACAACAAGUGAAAAGAGGGUUUUAAUUUAAGUUUUUUUAUCAAUUGUUUAUUUACUUGAUUUCUUUAUCAUCGGGUGUUGAAAGAGUCUCCGUCAACCUCCUUCACGAUCGUGCUCGCAGGAGGAGGAAUUCCGGUCGUACCUUGGGGUGUUAUUUCCGGUUAAUCCCGCACGUAAGGACGGAAAUACGCCUUAGGGCAGUGCCUCGCACACUUCCGGAUCAAUUAAAUUUUUAUUUGGACUUAGCGAUUAUCGGUAAGUUGAUUUUAUUAAUUUUAUCAUAAGAUUUUGUUAGAUUUAAAUCACAAUCAGAUUUCUGUGCGGUAUUUGUUCCAACACGAAACACAUACCAUGCUAUAUUUCUCUA